CACUUGGUCCACGUGAGGGGAGGAACCACUGCGGGGAACUUUGAUCAGCGCUGGCGCUGCUGGGCUCACACUGACCAUAGACCACGCCAGACACACUUCUGCUCCCUAGGAAGAGCCAGGGCGGCCUGUGCGUGUCCUCUCAGCCCCUCACGGUCUUCUUUGGCUCCGUGAUGAGCUAUCUGCCUGCUCAGCAGCCCCGUGUUGGAUCAUUCCGCCUCGAAUGCCUGUAAAGCAAACCCAUCCCCGGGAUUCCUCUCCAGCAGAUUGCCAAGCCCAGGAGCCCCGGGAGGCUCUUUGUCGCCCUGGACCGGACCGUGUGCAGCCUCCUACCUGGUUCUCCUGCCUGCGGUGUGGACCGGUCUGGGUGAAAUGCCGAGGCUGGGGAGGGAGACAGGAAUCUGACGCCUGGCAGGCCCUCCGGGAACUCACUCACAGUCUGGCGGGAGAGAUCAGACAAGGGUGCAGGUCUCCUUGGUGGUGGGCGGGGAGGAGAGUGAAGCCAAGAACCAAGGGCAAGGACAGGCUUGGGGGAAGGCAGGAGCGUGAUGUCAGCUUCAGACAAGGAAGUGCAACUCCCCCCCUUGUGUCCAGGGAUGCCCUUUUAAAAAACACGCUUCCGGAGGCUCAAAUCAAAAUCACCGCAAAUUCUAAGGUGAUGGAAGGUAGUUGACCAGAUUUGCCAAAGGAACAGACUCCCGAAUGCAUUGGGUUCAAUUCCCAGAAGCAUUGUGGAUUAAUAAUCUUUUUAAAAAAGAUUUUAUUUAUUCAUUUGAGAGAGAGAGCACAAGAUGAGGGGGGAGGGGCAGAGGGAGAGGGAGAAGCAGACUCCCCUGCUGAGCAGGGAGCCCAUUGUGAGGCUUGAUCCCAGGACACUGAGAUCAUGACCUGAGCCGAAGGCAGAUGCUUAACUGACUGAGCCACCCAGGUGCCCCUGGAUUAAUACUCUUAAUCGGUCCUCCAAGGUUGGGGACCUGUGCCACCUCUGGGAGGCCGAGGCCCCGAGUGUCUGAGGGUCCUGUAAAGCCAGCCCCAGGCUUGUGCUCUCCUGGCCCCGGGGCCAAAGGCCAGCUGCGUGAGGCUGCUGGCUUCCCUCCGGGGAUGAUGCACGCUGUCUGGGGAGGGCAUCGCCGCCCCAGCACAUCCGGGAGCUUCACAAGCCUCCACCCAGUGAAUGCUGGUCUGAACUACAGCUGGCUGUCCGAAUAGUCGUGCCCCCACUGCUGGAGAUAAAGGAACAAGAUCAUCGAAGAGACAUUUCUCUUAAUUAUAUUCUCCCCCAAACUCUAACUCUUUAUUACAUUGAAAUACAAUCAUUUCUCUCUGUGUUGAAUGACACUGGGGAAAGAGCCCUGGCUGACGGCCAGGAGCUGUGUCGUCUGGGCAAGCUGCCUGUCCUCCCAUUCCAGUUGGCUCAGCGAGACCCAGAGUCACUGUGCUCUUUCGGGUAGCAUGGCCAGAUUUUGCAGAUAAACAUAUACAUGUUGCAUGGGACAUCCUUACAGCACAAAACUGUGUGUAGUUUAUCUGAAACACAAGUUUACCUGGGCAUUUAUCUGGCGACCCAACCACCUGGUGAAGGUUGGGGAACUGGCAUCUGCGGGGGUAGAAGUCCUGACCUCUGAGGGGGCCACAGGGUCUUGAGGGGAAGCAGGAGGUGCUGAGCAGUCCUCCGGCUCAGACUGACGGCAGCAGAGAAGAGACUCUGAGUGUGCCCCACACCCCAGGAGUCCUCACCUCCUGCUACCUGUCUCCUUCUGGAGCCGGCCCAGUCUGGGGUGGCACUAAAGGUUUUGAUGGGUUCUGGGAUAGAAAUCAGGACACUUGACUCCCUCCUUUCCUUAACAUUCUGCCUCUGGCAAAUCAUGGCUCCUCUCUGGGCCUUUCCUCAGCUAUAUAAAAAGGUGUUUUCUUCUUUUCUUUUUUAAGAUUUAAAAAGAGAUUUGAGAGAGAGAGAAAGCACAAGCAGACAGAGGGAGAGAGAGAGAAGCAGGCUUCCCGCUGAGCAGGGAGCCCAACCCUGGGCUCCAUCCCAGGACCCUGAGAUUAUGACCUGAGCAGAAGGCAGAUGCUUAACUGACUGAGCCACCCAGGCAUCCCAGGAGUUUGGUUCUUGAUGCUGAUCGAACCUCAGAAUCACUGGGGAGGUGAAGCAAACCUUAACAACAGGUACCUGGGCGGGCCCUACUUCCUGAGAUUCUGAUUCAGUUGGCCUGGGGCAGACCCAGAUAGCAGUUUUAUCUUUAACUCCUGCAGGGACGCUAAUGCUGAGCCAAGGUUGAAAACUUGGGCUCUAUCUUGUCCCGUGCUGGGUCUCAGAGCCAUUUGUAGCUAGACCCAGGGUAGUGGAGUGAAUAGUCUGACCCACCUGCUGUAGUGCUCUGGAUGAAUUCAUGAAUGAAAUGAGCCACAAAACUGCAUAUAAAAAUAUUUCGUAGGGUUUCUUUUUUCUUGUUGGUUUUUUAUUUUACCAUCCUCUUCCCUUCAGGAGAUUUUGAAGAAACAAACUGGAUGCAGACUGGCUUGCUUUCUUGCAGCAUAAGGAUUGCUAAGGCAUCCCAAAGCACCUCCUUCCAACAGAUGGGGGUGGCUCCUUGCCCUGAUGUCGUGCAUGUCCCACCGUCCGGUGAUUUCCUGCCAUUUGCCAGCAGUGGCAGACGGUUCAACAUUUCCCGAAGCCUGCAAACGGGUCGAUUCGGCGGCUCAGGGAGCCCCCUUGUGGCACGCUGGACGAACGGCUCCCCUCACGGGGCGCGGCGCUUUCCUCUCUGGAAGUCACAACCCGCCCCCCGCCUCCCCGCCGAAGGGACAGCCGAACACAUCGACUCGGUGGCGCCGGGGCCGCUCCCGGGCAGGCGGAGAGAGCUGCCGAGGCUUCUGGCUCCUGCAGCUCUGGGCAAAUGCCAGGCCGCUGGGUGCCCGCGCCCGUGGGGCGGCGGGCGGGGGCCUGAGGUUCCAGGGCGGCACCGCCACCUCCUGGCGCGCUCUAGUCCGUCCCCUUGAUGCUGCGCGUCUUGCACCGUGGGACAGCCCUGCACGACAGCGAGUUGUCAGGCGUCGCCCAUGACUUGCAAACGGGCCUCCAGGCACUGCUGUGUGAAAUGCUGUAGUGAGCUCAGCCUGCCACUGUGACACAGGAGAACCCAAGGUUGUCCUUCUAGCUUGGACACUUUCAGUUUUCCAGGACCGCAACUUAGCAUGUACCUGCUGGGAAGACUGUGCUUUGCCUUCUUUGCAAUUUUAUCAUGGUUGUUCAGCAUUUUGGAAAAUAUCCCUGCACCCCGCCUCCCUUAACCCUUAUUUCAAAAACUCAAAUAUAAACAGAAAGCAGCUUCUCUUUAAAUUCCUCCUUUCCUCGUUAUCUAGUAGGUGAAAGCCUCUGAUGAUUUCAUCAGAUCUCUGGUGAGGUUGAACCUGAGCAUUUUCACGUGGGGAUAAAUAUUAUUUUAUCAUAAACUACCUUUUAUUUCUAAUUUAUUACAGUUAGAACAUUUAAUUUUUAAAUUCUCUGUGAGAUCUGAUUAUACUAUCUGUGAAAUUUAUUUCAGGAGACUGAAGGGGGUGUUAAGAAUCAGUUGCUAUGGGGAAUCAUUUGCUAUGGGGCGCCUGGGUGGCUCAGAUGGUUGGGUGUCUGCCUUCGGCUCGGGUCAUGAUCUCAGGGUCCUGGAAUCAAGUCCCACUUGAUCGGGCUCCUUGCUUAGCAGGAAGCCUGUUUCUC